rnacentral:misc_RNA from 1 species
AUAUAUAUCAACCUUCUCAUUUCUGAGUGGUUUGGAUGUGGGGGUUUGCUGGCCUCUUAAAUGAGUUCAGCUCCUCUGAAAUGCAUUAGUGGAACAAACCCCGUUCAUUGGCGUGAUAACUAUCUACGCUAUUGAAUGUGAGGGAUGGUUCAGCUUUCUAACAGUCCUUGGACAACUUAUCAUUU